rnacentral:rRNA from 1 species
CAGUCGCCGCGGUAAUACAGAGGAUGCAAGCGUUAUCCGGAAUGAUUGGGCGUAAAGCGUCUGUAGGUGGCUUUUCAAGUCCGCCGUCAAAUCCCAGGGCUCAACCCUGGACAGGCGGUGGAAACUACCAAGCUGGAGUACGGUAGGGGCAGAGGGAAUUUCCGGUGGGGCGGUGAAAUGCGUUGAGAUCGGAAAGAACACCAACGACGAAAGCACUCUGCUGGGUCGACACUGACACUGAGAGACGAAAGCUAGGGGAGAAAAUGGGAUUAGAUACCCCCGUAGUCCCUGUCUCUUAUAC